GAAUUCACCAAGUGUUGGAUUGUUC
rnacentral:ncRNA from 2 species